UACGUAGGCAGCAAGCGUUGUUCGGAAUUACUGGGCGUAAAGAGUGUGUAGGCGGUGCUCCAAGUCUGGUGUGAAAUCUCCCGGCUUAACUGGGAGGGUGCACUAGAAACUGGAAUGCUAGAGGAUGGGAGAGGUAAGCGGAAUUCCUGGUGUAGCGGUGAAAUGCGUAGAUAUCAGGAGGAACACCUGUGGUGUAGACAGCUUACUGGACCAUUUCUGACGCUGAGACACGAAAGCGUGGGUAGCAAACAGG
rnacentral:rRNA from 1 species